rnacentral:rRNA from 1 species
GACAGAGGUGCCAAGCGUUAGGCGGAAUCACUGGGCUUAAAGCGUGUGUAGGCGGAUCGUUAAGUACCUUGUGAAAUCCCACGGCUCAACCGUGGAACUGCUGGGUAUACUGGCGAUCUUGAGCCACCUAGGGGCGAGCGGAACAAGCGGUGGAGCGGUGAAAUGCGUAGAUAUCGAGAGGAACACCUGCGGCGAAGGCAAUCCCCUGGGCCUGCACUGACGCUCAUGCACGAAAGCGUGGGGAGCAAACAGG